rnacentral:rRNA from 1 species
AUGCUCAUCAANNNNCGNNNACUACCCAUAAAGGGACGGCUAACUACGUGCCAGCAGCCGCGGUNNUACGUAGGUCCCGAGCGUUGUCCGGAUUUAUUGGGCGUAAAGCGAGCGCAGGUGGUUUANNNAGUCUGGUGUAAAAGGCAGCGGGUCAACCAUUGUAUGCAUUGGAAACUGGUAGACUUGAGUGCAGGAGAGGAGAGUGGAAUUCCAUGUGUAGCGGUGAAAUGCGUAGAUAUAUGGAGGAACACCGGUGGCGAAAGCGGCUCUCUGGCCUGUAACUGNNNNNGAGGCUCGAAAGCGUGGGGAGCAAACAGGAUUAGAUACCCUGGUAGUCCACCCCGUAAACGAUGNNUGCUAGAUGUAGGGAGCUAUAAGUUCUCUGUAUCGCAGCUAAGGCAAUACAGCACUCCGCCUGGGGAGUACGACCGCAAGGUUGAAACUCAAAGGCAUUNNCGGGGGCCCGCACAAGCGCUNGGAGCAUGUGGUUGA